CGGGAGAAAGUUGCAAAGCACUUUGAAGAGAGAGUUAAAGAGGACGUGAAACCGGUAAGAUGGAAACGGAUAGAGCCAGCGAAGUCGCUUGUAUUCAGCCAAAGACUCGGAGCUGUCCGCCGUCGUGUUUCUAAUAGAGCAUGGCGGUUGGCGUGCUCCGUUUUGAGGUGCAUUUGCGGGCGUUUGCGCUGAGACUUGCGGAGCAGCUUCUGGAACUUCGACUAGAGGCUUCCCUUUGGGUAGUACCUGGUCGCUGGUACAGUUGUUUGCUCUGUUCGUACCCGGACCUGGCUUACGGAGUCUGGUGGUGCCGUUGUCUUCUCGCGGUGGUAUCGCAUGCGAUGCCUAGCUUGGAGGCUUCGGUUCUGCUAGUAUUCCUCUGGUCCGCUCUCGGUGUAGAAGCUGGUUAUCUCUCCGACCCGUCUUGAAACACGGACCAAGGAGUUUAGCGUAUGCGCGAGCCAUUGGGUGCAAAACUCACAGGCAGAAUGAAAGUAAAGGUCCAGUUGCUGGACUGACAUGCGAACGUCAAGGCUCCGGCCCUGGUGUGCAGCAUGGUCCCUUUGCAGUCGCUUGCGACGCAGCGGAGACAGAGCGUAUGCGCUGAGACCCGAAAGAUGGUGAACUAUUCCUGAGCAGGACGAAGCCAGAGGAAACUCUGGUGGAAGUCCGAAGCGAUUCUGACGUGCAAAUCGAUCGUCUGACUUGGGUAUAGGGGCGAAAGACUAAUCGAACCAUCUAGUAGCUGUUUCCUUUUCCGAA
rnacentral:rRNA from 1 species